GAUGAACGCUGGCGGCGUGCCUAAUACAUGCAAGUCGAGCGAACAGACGAGGAUCUUGCUCCUCUGACGUUAGCGGCGGACGUGUGAGUAACACGUGUAUAACCUCCCUAUCAUACUGGGAUAACUUCGGGACACCGGAUCUAAUCCCGUAUAAUAUAUUGAACCGCAUGGUUCAAUAGUGAAAGACGGUUUUGCUGUCACUUAUAGAUGGAUCCGCGCCGCAUUAGCUAGUUGGUAAGUUAACGGCUUACCAAGGCAACGAUGCGUAGCCGACCUGAGAGGGUGAUCGGCGGCACGGGAGGUGAGACACGGUCAAGACGACUACGGGAGGCAGCAGUAGGGAAUCUGACGCAGUGGGCGGAAGCCUGACGGAGCAACGCGGCGUGAGUGACGAAGGUCUUCGGAUCGUAAUAAUCUGUUAUUAGGGAAGAACAAAUGUGGAAGUAGAUAUGGACGGAGUGACGGUACCGAAUAAGAAAGCCACGGCUAACUACGUG
rnacentral:rRNA from 1 species